UUUAAUGUGGCAGAACUUUAACGCGGUAAAUUUAAAAUUUACAGAUGUAGCUUAGGCUUCCUUUAAAA
rnacentral:tRNA from 1 species